GCUCUAUUCUUGUGUACCGUUUCCAAACACUGAAGAAAAAGCACACACUUGGAUCCUAUGGCAUUAAACACGAGGAUGAUAUCUUCAGGGUCCCCCGAGGAACCAGCUAUACAGUGAGGAGCCAGCUAUGUUCUUCUGAAGGGCGUUGGACAGAAGAAACACGUUCAUUUGAAGAUGAUGAUGAAGAAGAAGAUAAAGACAUCUCCAGGACUCAAUCUAUGGAUAAUUUGACUUUAAUGCAGAAGAUUAACCACAAAUGUAUAUUGUAGCAGUCUGUAAAAUGCUUUCUAAAAAGUAAAAAAAGCUUGGUUUUUACACUGCAUGCAUUUCUGUGCAGUCACGUGUAAAUAUACAAAGCCCUUUCUUUUGCAAACAUUUAUGUCAUUUUUUAACAAUAUUGAAGUAUGUGUACUUCUACAAUGAAACAUACAGUAUGUGUGUUGACAGAAAACAAACAGAAGAGAGAAGAGAGAUCCCAGUAACAUUAACAAGCUCAAAACAGACAGAAGUUUCAGGGCAUUUCUGUCCAGCAUGCAUCGAAACGGCUUCUGAAAUACAAGCCCAAAAUUCUUCAACAAGUUGACACUUGAAACUGCGUUCUGUUGUUUCACAGAAUCCGCAUGAAUUAUUCUCCCAUGGAAAUCCUUCA